UACGUAGGGUGCGAGCGUUGUCCGGAAUUACUGGGCGUAAAGAGCUCGUAGGUGGUUUGUCGCGUUGUCCGUGAAAACUCACAACUCAAUUGUGGGCGUGCGGGCGAUACGGGCAGACUGGAGUACUGCAGGGGAGACUGGAAUUCCAGGUGUAGCGGUGGAAUGCGCAGAUAUCAGGAGGAACACCGGUGGCGAAGGCGGGUCUCUGGGCAGUAACUGACGCUGAGGAGCGAAAGCGUGGGGAGCGAACAGG
rnacentral:rRNA from 1 species